UACGUAGGGGGCGAGCGUUGUCCGAAGUUACUGGGCGUAAAGAGCGCGUAGGCGGGUCUUUAAGUGAGAGGUGAAAGGUUCAGGGCUUAACCCGGACACUGCCUUUCAUACUGGGGACCUUGAGUGUGGGAGAGGCGAGUGGAAUGGUCGGUGUAGCGGUGAAAUGCGUAGAUAUCGAUCGGAACACCCAUGGCGAAGGCAGCUCGCUGGCCUAUAACUGACGCUGAGGCGCGAAAGCGUGGGGAGCAAACAGG
rnacentral:rRNA from 1 species